rnacentral:rRNA from 1 species
CCAUGCCGCGUGCAGGAGGAAGGCCCUAUGGGUUGUAAACUGCUUUUAUCAGGGGAUAAACCUCGGGAUGCGUUCCGAGCUGAAGGUACCUGAUGAAUAAGGAUCGGCUAACUCCGUGCCAGCAGCCGCGGUAAUACGGAGGAUCCGAGCGUUAUCCGGAUUUAUUGGGUUUAAGGGUGCGUAGGCGGUUUAUUAAGUCAGUGGUGAAAGGUUGAAGCUCAACUUUGACAUUGCCAUUGAUACUGAUAGGCUAGAGUACAGAUGAGGUCGGCGGAAUGUGUUAAGUAGCGGUGAAAUGCUUAGAUAUGACACAGAACACCAAUUGCGAAGGCAGCUGACUAAAGUGUAACUGACGCUGAGGCACGAAAGCGUGGGGAUCGAACAGGAUUAGAUACCCUGGUAGUCCACGCCCUAAACGAUGAUAACUCGAUGUUAGCGAUAUACCGUUAGCGUCAAAGCGAAAGCGUUGAGUUAUCCACCUGGGGAGUACGGUCGCAAGAUUGAAACUCAAAGGAAUUGACGGGGGCCCGCACAAGCGGAGGAGCAUGUGGUUUAAUUCGAUGAUACGCGAGGAACCUUACCCGGGCUUGAAAGUUAGUGAAGGUGUCAGAGAUGAUGCCGUCCGCAAGGACACGAAACUAGGUGCUGCAUGGCUGUCGUCAGCUCGUGCCGUGAGGUGUUGGGCUAAGCCCCGCAACGAGCGCAACCCCUAUGAAUAGUUGCCAGCACAUAAUGGUGGGGACUCUAUUCAGACUGCCUACGCAAGUAGAGAGGAAGGAGGGGAUGACGUCAAGUCAUCAUGGCCCUUACGUCCGGGGCUACACACGUGCUACAAUGGGCAGUACAGAGGGGCUGCGAAAGAGUAAUCUGGAGCCCAUCUUUAAAAGCUGUUCACAGUUCGGAUUGAGGUCUGCAACUCGACCUCA